GACGAACGCUGGCGGCGUGCCUAAUACAUGCAAGUCGAACGCAGUGGGGACGGGUGAGUAACACGUGGGUAACAUCCCAUCAGAGGGGAUAACACUUGGAAACAGGUGCUAAACCGAUACUGGUGGAUGGACCCGCGGUGCAUUAGCUAGUUGGUGGGGUAACGGCUCACCAAGGCCACGAUGCCUAGCCGGCCUGAGAGGGUGACCGGCCACACUGGGACUGAGACACGGCCCAGACUCCUACGGGAGGCAGCAGUAGGGAAUCUUCGGCAAUGGACGAAAGUCUGAUGCAGCCAUGCCGCGUGUAUGAAGAAGGCCUUCGGGUUGUAAAGUGCUUUCAGCGGGGAGGCGUUACCCGCAGAAGAAGCACCGGCUAACUCCGUGCCAGCAGCCGCGGUAAUUC
rnacentral:rRNA from 1 species